GGAACCACUUGACACUUCUUUUUUAAGUAAAUCCAACAAUUCAUUUUUUUGAGUGUAUAUUUAUUUAUAUGUAUUAUAUUUUUGCUUCUGUAGAAUUUCUUUAAUUUCCAAAACAAGAAUGACACUCUCUACUGUUUAGAAUUCACUGCAGAAUAUGUUAAUGAACCAUGUUUUCAUUACUGUACAAAAUUAUUCCUAAGUUUCCCCUUUUGUGUAGAUGGUGAUGAAACUGAAAGACUUGAAACACUUGUGUAGGUGUUCGGCUAUCUGAUUGUUUUAAUAGUUUUUAAUUUUUUUGAUUUAGGAUAUAAUUCAAUAUGGUAGGAAUGUAGCAAAUUGCUGUCGUAUUCAUUUUUGUAUUAGGUUUUGAAGAGGAUGUAAAUGUGCAAAUUGGCCUGAUACACAGAGACAACUAAAGACUGAUGCCAUUUCUAGUCAGCGCUGGUGUGUGAGGAUGGUGAAGGUCCCGUUUAAGCCUGUCGUUAACCAGCUCUCCCUUAUAAACCCUAGUGAUUGCGCAAACAAAACAGAAGACCACAGGAACUAUUGCUCAGUCAACGCAUGCUUGAUUCAGUGCCCAGAUCAACACGUGUCUCCACUGUUUGGCCACAUAACUCUAACCCAAAACCAUAAGAUGAUAGUGAUACUAUAGUACUAUUACAUACACCACAGGAGUGAAUGAUAACCAUAUUCAUCUAUCAUGGCAACUACAGUAAAGCACUACAAAGAGUACUAUGGUAAUAUCAUUGUACUUGUACAAGUAUUUUCAAACAUGUUAACUAAACAAGUUUCACACUGUACAUUCAUAAACCCUGAAUUAACAUUCUUCUUAGCAUUUCCAUUGUCAGCAUCACUGAUUGCACAAAUACAAAACAGCUUGUCUCGAUCUUGUGCAUGAGUUAUGUUUCUAUAGUUUGACGGUGACAUCCAAUUUGCCCUGAAAAUACUUUUUGGACCAUAACUGUGCAAAUAAAAAGGUUUUUUUCAUCAGAGCCUGCGAAAGCGGUGCUAAACCAGUUCUGGAGCAGAAAAGCACAACCCAUAAAUUUUUUACAUGCAAUUUCAUUUAGUUCAUUCAAAAUAAAUCAGUUGAGUUGGGUCAACACAAUUUAGUUGGUUUACAUCAAAUUAUUUGUUUAACUUAACUUUAUUACGUCAUGAGUAGUAAAAUGAUUUAUGACCCUUUGAUUUAUGACAUAUGACAGGUGUGACCUUUGGUAAGAUCUCUUUUAGUGAUUUUGUGUAUUUCUGUAUAUAUAUAAAUUAAUGUAUUUGCUAAAUGUGCUGCCUGUCUCGGCCAGGACCCUGUUGCAAAAGAGAACUUGUUUUGUUAGGAUGAAAUCGAGUCCACAUGUUUGUGUUUUCCAGAAGGGGUUGGUCACAUGACUCUCAAACUGAACCUCAGUUCUCAGUAAACAAACCUCAAAACACAAAGCUCAAAGUGUCAAUCAGUCAGAUCUUGUGUUUAUUAUAGUCAAAUUAUAUGUCAUUUAUAAACAACACAAAGAUAAUUAAGCAGUUUUAGCAUAAAAAAUCCAAUGCAUUCAUUUUACUUUCAUUAGAUCACAUACUUUUUAUUCAAUUCCAGCUUUUUAUUCUGUCAUUUGAUAUAUUUAUUUAUUUACUAAGGCAACAGACACAAGCUAUGCGUUUACACAAGCAGAGGUUUAUGUUGGGUUAGUAAUGGCCUACUAUACAUUUACUAACUCAACAUAAACCUCUGCUUGUGAAGACAAGCAUUUAUUUAAUAUGAUAUUAAGGCCCCUGGGACAACUCACAAUAUUUUGUAAACACUCUUAUGUUUUUAUUACGAGUUCCUUGUGUAAAUACCUGUUGAUAGAGUGACACAAUUCAUGUAAAUGAAAAGUGACACUGUAAAAAUGUUUUACAUGCAGAGUUUGAACAUGUGCACAAAGUAUAUGGUGAUAUUAAGAAGUUCCAUGACACAAUUAAUCCAAGAUAAACACUUUCAUAAUAAUGAUCACAGAGAACACUCAAGAGAAGAAACUCAAAACACUUUAGAUUACGAUGACAAACGACAAAGGAAUGAACAAAACAGGAAAUACUUACUUAACUAGAUGUGGGAUUCAUUAGUGAAUGAACAGGAGAACUUAGUAAAUAUAGCAACUGAACAAAGGAAACAUGAACACAAACACUAUGAAACAUAACAUUUCAUAGCAGAGAUGACACUUUGAGCUUUGUGUUUUGAGGUUUGUUUACUGAGAACUGAGGUUCAGUUUGAGAGUCAUGUGACCAACCCCUUCUGGAAAACACAAACAUGUGGAUUCGAUUUCAUCCUAACAAAACAAGUUCCCGCCUUCUUCCCUUUUUCUUGUGAUGAGAAGAUUAAGGAAGAGGCAGAAAUGUCAGCGGUCAGAGACAUGUAUGAAGACCCACCGAUGGCCUCCAGUGGAUGAGAUUAUUCAGAGACGAGAAGCAACAUGCGUAACCUGAGACAUUUGUGCAAUCACUAGAGUUUAUAAGUGUGAGCUGGUUAAUGACGGGUUUAAACAGGACCUUCAAAUUCUUCACGCUGACUAGAAAUGGCAUCAGAAAUAGCAGUGGUCAGAGACAUGGAUGAAGGGCUGGUUAUUGAAGAAGGACAAGAUGAAGAAGAAGAAAGAAAGCAACACAGAGAACGACAGCUGAACGAAAACCCAGAUAUUCUCUUCAGAGUUUAUAGACAAGGACAACUUCAUGUUCUGCUCUUCAGACCCACGAAUGACAGCUGGUGGAUAGAAAGACUUAAAUAUCGAUAUUCUGGCAUCUUUGCUCAGUGGACUUUCAAACAUGCUGAUAAUGAGCCGAUUCGACAUGUGAUGAAUCUCUCUGGUGAUCGGAUUCAGUUGCAGAGAUUCUGUGAUGAGUUUCCAAACAAUCGUUUGAAGUCUCUUGGUGACAAUGAUGAAGAACCUGAAGAGCUGAGAGCAACAAUAGAAGAUCUGAGAGCAAGAAUACAAGAUCUUGAAUUGAAAAACAGAAGAUGUAGUCUACAAUGACACAAUUCAAGCAAGAGCUGCCAUAAACAUGAGAGAUGUUCAACAAAUCAUGACAACUGAGUCAAGUAGCCCGUCUCACCCUCCAGAACUUCAGCUAAAUUAUCAUCUGAAAACAUUAUUGUUCAUGUUUAAGUUAAAUCAAUGCUGAGAAAACUCACAUCAUGUAACAGUGCAAGUUGUGUUUCAUCAUCUAAUAACAGCUGUUGAGAAUUGGUUCAUGUUUACUUUAUAAUAAUAGACGUGAUUAUGAAUAUAACAGAAGUUUUUUUUUUCAUCUCUUCCACACAGAGAUCAUGUUUUUACCUGAAAAAUAUGAAUUUCUUGUAUUUCUCUUUCUCUGUCAUGUUCAAGCUGUGAUUAAAUCUGUCACACUUUUUAGUUUAUAUUUCUCAGGGUGUGGUUAUUGUUAAAAAUGUAUUUCUGUAUAAACACAAGCCCUAUUAAAUCAUGACUACAACAAA